UCCACAUUGGAAACACGUGAUGCCUCUAC
rnacentral:piRNA from 1 species